rnacentral:misc_RNA from 1 species
UAAAAAAAAAAAAAAACCCUAAAAACUGAUAGAAAAGCUGUAGUGGACUGCACUCUUGCCUAAGACCCAAAAACACAUAAAUAAGGCUCAAAACACAUAUCUGAUAAAAAAUAAUUAAAUAAAACUAUUUAGACCUAUUAUAGAUAAAAAGAAAAAACACUAAGUUUGUGUAAAAACUCGUCAUUUCUGUCCAAAUAUUUCUUGAUCA